GUCCUUUAGAUUAGUAUUUAAGGUUUGACCUGCCCAAUGAUAAAGUAUUUAAUGGCCGCAGUAAUUUGACUGUGCAAAGGUAGCAUAAUCAUUAGUUUUUUAAUUGAAAGCUUGUAUGAAUGGUUGGACGAGAUAAAAACUGUCUCUAUUUAAUAUAUAAAACUUAAUUUUUAAGUUAAAAAGCUUAAAUUUUUGUAAAAGACGAGAAGACCCUAUAGAUCUUUAUAUAAUUUUUUUUAGUUUAAUUGAUGAUUUUUUAUUUAAUUAUAAAAAUUUAUAUUUUAUUGGGGUAAUAAAAAGAUUUGAUUAAUUCUUUUUUAUAUUACAUGAAUUAAUGAAUAAUUGAUCCGUUAUUAUUGAUUAUAAGAUUAAGUUACCUUAGGGAUAACAGCGUAAUUUUUUUGGAGAGUUCUUAUCGAUAAAAAAGUUUGCGACCUCGAUGUUGGAUUAAAAAUUAUUUUAGGCGUAGAAGUUUAAAAUUUUGGUCUGUUCGACCAUUGAAUUUUU
rnacentral:rRNA from 1 species